rnacentral:rRNA from 1 species
GGGUCAGUAGGUUGGUCGUGCCACCGGUACGUACUGGUCUCACUGAUUCCUCCUUCCUGAAGAACCGUAAUGCCGUUAAUUUGGUGUUGCGGGGAAACAGGACUGUUACUUUGAAAAAAUUAGAGUGUUUAAAGCAAGCUAACACUUGAAUACAUUAGCAUGGAAUAAUGAAAUAGGACGAUCGAUCCUAUUUUGUUGGUUUCUAGGAUUGACGUA